rnacentral:rRNA from 1 species
CGAUGAGUAGGGCGGGACACGUGGUAUCCUGUCUGAAUAUGGGGGGACCAUCCUCCAAGGCUAAAUACUCCUGACUGACCGAUAGUGAACCAGUACCGUGAGGGAAAGGCGAAAAGAACCCCGGCGAGGGGAGUGAAAAAGAACCUGAAACCGUGUACGUACAAGCAGUGGGAGCACCCUUUGGGGUGUGACUGCGUACCUUUUGUAUAAUGGGUCAGCGACUUAUAUUCUGUAGCAAGGUUAACCGUAUAGGGGAGCCGGAGGGAAACCGAGUCUUAACCGGGCGUUAAGUUGCAGGGUAUAGACCCGAAACCCGGUGAUCUAGCCAUGGGCAGGUUGAAGGUUGGGUAACACUAACUGGAGGACCGAACCGACUAAUGUUGAAAAAUUAGCGGAUGACCUGUGGCUGGGGGUGAAAGGCCAAUCAAACCGGGAGAUAGCUGGUUCUCCCCGAAAGCUAUUUAGGUAGCGCCUCGUGAAUUCAUCUCCGGGGGUAGAGCACUGUUUCGGCUAGGGGGCCAUCCCGGCUUACCAACCCGAUGCAAACUGCGAAUACCGGAGAAUGUUAUCACGGGAGACACACGGCGGGUGCUAACGUCCGUCGUGAAGAGGGAAACAACCCAGACCGCCAGCUAAGGUCCCAAAGUCAUGGUUAAGUGGGAAACGAUGUGGGAAGGCCCAGACAGCCAGGAUGUUGGCUUAGAAGCAGCCAUCAUUUAAAGAAAGCGUAAUAGCUCACUGGUCGAGUCGGCCUGCGCGGAAGAUGUAACGGGGCUAAACCAUGCACCGAAGCUGCGGCAGCGACGCUGAUGCGUUGUUGGGUAGGGGAGCGUUCUGUAAGCCUGCGAAGGUGGCCUGUGAGGGUUGCUGGAGGUAUCAGAAGUGCGAAUGCUGACAUAAGUAACGAUAAAGCGGGUGAAAAGCCCGCUCGCCGGAAGACCAAGGGUUCCUGUCCAACGUUAAUCGGGGCAGGGUGAGUCGACCCCUAAGGCGAGGCCGAAAGGCGUAGUCGAUGGGAAACGGGUUAAUAUUCCCGUACUUGGUGUUACUGCGAAGGGGGGACGGAGAAGGCUAUGUUGGCCGGGCGACGGUU